rnacentral:lncRNA from 1 species
GUGAAGUAAAGACAGAAACAUGGCCUGUAAGGAAAAGAAGCCUCCAGACAGAUCCCUUUUUUCUUUUCUCCAGAACAGAAGGCGGGACGGAACCGAUCUCUCCUCACUUUCCUUUGGACAGCAAGGGAAUAAGCUAAUUCCAAAUUGCUCCAACAUUUCCAAGGCCUGAAGCAUCUCAUCCAGGACGAUUCGUCUCAUCUACCCCCCUGGAGCUGAGAAGCCACAACCUGCUCCAUGAAUUUGCACAAUAAUGAGAUAUUAGAGACUGGCUGGGAAUUAUUCAGUACUAUGGAAUCCAAGGGGGUAUUUUUUCAAUAAUGGUCUUACUACUGCCUCCUUCAAGCAAACUAUGUUGUAUGAC